UAAUGCAAUGUAAAUAGAACAUCUGAGCUCAUGCCUGCAGAGAUGAAGGCUUUGAUUCCAACGCCCGCCCUCUCCCUGUCCCCACAAGUCUCUUUUUACAUUGGAUUACUUGCCUUCAAAAUGUGGUACAUAUGAUUUCCAAGUUCGACUAAUGAAAGAACAGGUGUUAAUUAGCAAAACUCUAAAAGCAGCGUUUUAAAUUUGUCACUUCUAAGAGGCACUGUACUGGAUAAAAGUGAAGCAAACAUGAAACCGAUCCAUACAACACUAACCUACAUAAACAAUAUCUCUACAAAAA